UACGUAGGGUGCAAGCGUUAAUCGGAAUUACUGGGCGUAAAGCGUGCGCAGGCGGCUUUGCAAGACAGAUGUGAAAUCCCCGGGCUCAACCUGGGAAUUGCAUUUGUGACUGCACGGCUAGAGUGUGUCAGAGGGGGGUAGAAUUCCACGUGUAGCAGUGAAAUGCGUAGAUAUGUGGAGGAAUACCGAUGGCGAAGGCAGCCCCCUGGGAUAACACUGACGCUCAUGCACGAAAGCGUGGGGAGCAAACAGG
rnacentral:rRNA from 1 species